CCUACGUGUGGCUGCAGUGGGGAAUAUUGGACAAUGGGCGAAAGCCUGAUCCAGCCAUGCCGCGUGUGUGAAGAAGGCCUUCGGGUUGUAAAGCACUUUCAGUGGGGAAGAAAGCCUUGGGGCUAAUACCCUCGAGGAAGGACAUCACCCACAGAAGAAGCACCGGCUAACUCCGUGCCAGCAGCCGCGGUAAUACGGAGGGUGCGAGCGUUAAUCGGAAUUACUGGGCGUAAAGCGCGCGUAGGCGGUCUGAUAAGCCGGUUGUGAAAGCCCCGGGCUCAACCUGGGAACGGCAUCCGGAACUGUCAGGCUAGAGUGCAGGAGAGGAAGGUAGAAUUCCCGGUGUAGCGGUGAAAUGCGUAGAGAUCGGGAGGAAUACCAGUGGCGAAGGCGGCCUUCUGGACUGACACUGACGCUGAGGUGCGAAAGCGUGGGUAGCAAACAGGAUUAGAUACCCUAGUAGUC
rnacentral:rRNA from 1 species